UGGAGGGCUCCAAUCAGAGCAGCCCGUGACCUCCGGUGGCCCAGCGCAGUGGGGACGGUCAGCGCUGCCCUGGUUCCCCGCCUCGCAGUGGCCGCCACUGCAUCCUGGGGCCCUGCAGAUGCGGCUGCAGAAGUGGGAACCCUAGGUUCUAGUUUGGAGUCUCUUCCAUUCUCCUGGCACAUCUGAGAAGCAGAAAAGGAGAGGCUCCAGAAAUGAUUCCCGAAUCGCAAAGCCUGACACCUGGUGAAUGAACCCAUAUGUGCUGGGCUGAAGGAACCUGGGAUUCCAC